AAGCGUGCGCAGGCGGUUAUGUAAGACAGAUGUGAAAUCCCCGGGCGUCAACCUGGGAACUGCAUUUGUGACUGCAUGGCUAGAGUACGGUAGAGGGGGAUGGAAUUCCGCGUGUAGCAGUGAAAUGCGUAGAUAUGCGGAGGAACACCGAUGGCGAAGGCAAUCCCCUGGGCCUGUACUGACGCUCAUGCACGAAAGCGUGGGGAGCAAACAGGAUUAGAUACCCGAGU
rnacentral:rRNA from 1 species